rnacentral:sRNA from 1 species
UUUUAGCCCCGAUAGCAGUGGAAAUCCUUUUUAUUGCUUUUAGAAAAAUCCCUUUCCCGAAAUUUCGGGACGCUCAGGGUGACAAAAGCGAUAAAAAGAUUGGAACGUAUAGCGGGAAAAAGC